UGCCCCAUGGCUGAGUUGGUUACAGCGUCCGACUGUUAUGUAGAUUAAGCCACGUUUGGCAUCGGAAGGUCGUGAGUUCGAGCCUCACUGGGGCAG